GACGAACCGUGCGAACGUUGUUCGGAUUCACUGGGCUUAAAGGGCGCGUAGGCGGGUUCUCAAGUCCGGGGUGAAAUCCUCUCGCUUAACGAGAGAACUGCCUUGGAUACUGAGGACCUCGAGGGAGGUAGGGGCAUGUGGAACUUCCGGUGGAGCGGUGAAAUGCGUAGAUAUCGGAAGGAACGCCGGUGGCGAAAGCGACGUGCUGGACCUUUUCUGACGCUGAGGCGCGAAAGCCAGGGGAGCAAACGGG
rnacentral:rRNA from 1 species